GGUUAAGCGACUAAGCGUACACGGUGGAUGCCCUGGCAGUCAGAGGCGAUGAAGGACGUGCUAAUCUGCGAAAAGCGUCGGUAAGGUGAUAUGAACCGUUAUAACCGGCGAUGUCCGAAUGGGGAAACCCAGUGCAAUUCGUUGCACUAUCGUUAACUGAAUACAUAGGUUAACGAGGCGAACCGGGGGAACUGAAACAUCUAAGUACCCCGAGGAAAAGAAAUCAACCGAGAUUCCCCCAGUAGCGGCGAGCGAACGGGGAGCAGCCCAGAGUCUGAAUCAGCUUGUGUGUUAGUGGAACGGUCUGGAAAGUCCGACGGUACAGGGUGAUAGUCCCGUACACCAAAAUGCACAGGUUGUGAACUCGAAGAGUAGGGCGGGACACGUGGUAUCCUGUCUGAAUAUGGGGGGACCAUCCUCCAAGGCUAAAUACUCCUGACUGACCGAUAGUGAACCAGUACCGUGAGGGAAAGGCGAAAAGAACCCCGGCGAGGGGAGUGAAAAAGAACCUGAAACCGUGUACGUACAAGCAGUGGGAGCACCUUCGGGUGUGACUGCGUACCUUUUGUAUAAUGGGUCAGCGACUUAUAUUCUGUAGCAAGGUUAACCGUAUAGGGGAGCCGCAGGGAAACCGAGUCUUAACUGGGCGUUAAGUUGCAGGGUAUAGACCCGAAACCCGGUGAUCUAGCCAUGGGCAGGUUGAAGGUUGGGUAACACUAACUGGAGGACCGAACCGACUAAUGUUGAAAAAUUAGCGGAUGACUUGUGGCUGGGGGUGAAAGGCCAAUCAAACCGGGAGAUAGCUGGUUCUCCCCGAAAGCUAUUUAGGUAGCGCCUCGUGAAUUCAUCUUCGGGGGUAGAGCACUGUUUCGGCUAGGGGGUCAUCCCGACUUACCAACCCGAUGCAAACUACGAAUACCGAAGAAUGUUAUCACGGGAGACACACGGCGGGUGCUAACGUCCGUCGUGAAGAGGGAAACAACCCAGACCGCCAGCUAAGGUCCCAAAGUCAUGGUUAAGUGGGAAACGAUGUGGGAAGGCACAGACAGCCAGGAUGUUGGCUUAGAAGCAGCCAUCAUUUAAAGAAAGCGUAAUAGCUCACUGGUCGAGUCGGCCUGCGCGGAAGAUGUAACGGGGCUAAACCAUGCACCGAAGCUGCGGCAGCGACACUAUGUGUUGUUGGGUAGGGGAGCGUUCUGUAAGCCUGCGAAGGUGGCCUGUGAGGGUUGCUGGAGGUAUCAGAAGUGCGAAUGCUGACAUAAGUAACGAUAAAGCGGGUGAAAAGCCCGCUCGCCGGAAGACCAAGGGUUCCUGUCCAACGUUAAUCGGGGCAGGGUGAGUCGACCCCUAAGGCGAGGCCGAAAGGCGUAGUCGAUGGGAAACAGGUUAAUAUUCCUGUACUUGGUGUUACUGCGAAGGGGGGACGGAGAAGGCUAUGUUAGCCGGGCGACGGUUGUCCCGGUUUAAGCAUGUAGGCGGAGGUUCCAGGUAAAUCCGGUACCUUUUAACGCUGAGGUGUGAUGACGAGGCACUACGGUGCUGAAGUAACAAAUGCCCUGCUUCCAGGAAAAGCCUCUAAGCAUCAGGUAACAUUAAAUCGUACCCCAAACCGACACAGGUGGUCAGGUAGAGAAUACCAAGGCGCUUGAGAGAACUCGGGUGAAGGAACUAGGCAAAAUGGUGCCGUAACUUCGGGAGAAGGCACGCUGGUGUGUAGGUGAAGUCCCUGCGGACGGAGCUGAGACCAGUCGAAGAUACCAGCUGGCUGCAACUGUUUAUUAAAAACACAGCACUGUGCAAACACGAAAGUGGACGUAUACGGUGUGACGCCUGCCCGGUGCCGGAAGGUUAAUUGAUGGGGUUAUCCGUAAGGAGAAGCUCUUGAUCGAAGCCCCGGUAAACGGCGGCCGUAACUAUAACGGUCCUAAGGUAGCGAAAUUCCUUGUCGGGUAAGUUCCGACCUGCACGAAUGGCGUAAUGAUGGCCAGGCUGUCUCCACCCGAGACUCAGUGAAAUUGAACUCGCUGUGAAGAUGCAGUGUACCCGCGGCAAGACGGAAAGACCCCGUGAACCUUUACUAUAGCUUGACACUGAACAUUGAGCCUUGAUGUGUAGGAUAGGUGGGAGGCUUUGAAGCGUGGACGCCAGUCUGCGUGGAGCCAACCUUGAAAUACCACCCUUUAAUGUUUGAUGUUCUAACGUUGGCCCCUGACCGGGGUUGCGGACAGUGUCUGGUGGGUAGUUUGACUGGGGCGGUCUCCUCCCAAAGCGUAACGGAGGAGCACGAAGGUUAGCUAAUCCUGGUCGGACAUCAGGAGGUUAGUGCAAUGGCAUAAGCUAGCUUGACUGCGAGCGUGACGGCGCGAGCAGGUGCGAAAGCAGGUCAUAGUGAUCCGGUGGUUCUGAAUGGAAGGGCCAUCGCUCAACGGAUAAAAGGUACUCCGGGGAUAACAGGCUGAUACCGCCCAAGAGUUCAUAUCGACGGCGGUGUUUGGCACCUCGAUGUCGGCUCAUCACAUCCUGGGGCUGAAGUAGGUCCCAAGGGUAUGGCUGUUCGCCAUUUAAAGUGGUACGCGAGCUGGGUUUAGAACGUCGUGAGACAGUUCGGUCCCUAUCUGCCGUGGGCGCUGGAGAAUUGAGGGGGGCUGCUCCUAGUACGAGAGGACCGGAGUGGACGCAUCACUGGUGUUCGGGUUGUCAUGCCAAUGGCACUGCCCGGUAGCUAAAUGCGGAAGAGAUAAGUGCUGAAAGCAUCUAAGCACGAAACUUGCCCCGAGAUGAGUUCUCCCUGAGACUAUAAGUCUCCUGAAGGAACGUUGAAGACGACGACGUUGAUAGGCCGGGUGUGUAAGCGCAGCGAUGCGUUGAGCUAACCGGUACUAAUGAACCGUGAGGCUUAACCUU
rnacentral:rRNA from 1 species